rnacentral:rRNA from 1 species
GAUGAACGCUGGCGGCGUGCCUAAUACAUGCAAGUCGAGCGAACGGACGAGAAGCUUGCUUUUCUGAUGUUAGCGGCGGACGGGUGAGUAACACGUGGAUAACCUACCUAUAAGACUGGGAUAACUUCGGGAAACCGGAGCUAAUACCGGAUAAUAUUUUGAACCGCAUGGUUCAAAAGUGAAAGACGGUCUUGCUGUCACUUAUAGAUGGAUCCGCGCUGCAUUAGCUAGUUGGUAAGGUAACGGCUUACCAAGGCAACGAUGCAUAGCCGACCUGAGAGGGUGAUCGGCCACACUGGAACUGAGACACGGUCCAGACUCCUACGGGAGGCAGCAGUAGGGAAUCUUCCGCAAUGGGCGAAAGCCUGACGGAGCAACGCCGCGUGAGUGAUGAAGGUCUUCGGAUCGUAAAACUCUGCUAUUAGGGAAGAACAUAUGUGUAAGUAACUGUGCACAUCUUGACGGUACCUAAUCAGAAAGCCGCGGCUAACUACGUG